rnacentral:rRNA from 1 species
GUCCACGCCCUAAACGAUGGAUACUAGACGUAAGAGGUAUCGACCCCUCUUGUGUCGCAGCUAACGCACUAAGUAUCCCGCCUGGGGAGUACGGCCGCAAGGUUGAAACUCAAAUGAAUUGACGGGGACCCGCACAAGCGGUGGAGCAUGUGGAUUAAUUCGAUACUAACCGAAGAACCUUACCCAGGUUUGACAUCGAUGGUAAGCCCAUGAAAGUGGGCCCUCCCUCACAAGGGGACCAGAAGACACUUGUUGCAUGGCUGUCGU